GGAGUUUCCCUGCACAAGCUUCUCUCUUUGCUUGUUGCCAUUCCACGUAAGAUGUGACCUGCUCCUCCUCACCUUUUGCCAUGAUUAUGAGGCCUCCCCAGCCAUGUGGAACUAACACUUCAGUUAUGGAAGAUCAAGAUGAAGAUGAGUCCCCAAAGAAAAAUACUCCUUGGCAGAUAAGUAAUGGAACAUUGUCUGUGAUUGUCUCCAGAAGCAGGCCAUCAGAAGGAAACUACCAAAAAGAAAAAGACUUGUGUAUUCAAUAUUUUGACCAGUGGUCUGAAUCAGAUCAGGUGGAAUUCGUGGAACAUCUUAUUUCCUGAAUGUGUCAUUAGCAGCAUAGACGUAUUAAUUCUCACCUGAAGCCCAUGUUGCAGCGGGACUUUAUUGCCGCUUUACCUGAGCAAGGCUUAGAUCACAUAGCAGAAAAUAUUCUUUCAUACCUGGAUGCCAGGUCUCUGUGUGCAGCAGAGCUGGUAUGUAAAGAAUGGCAGCGAGUGAUCUCAGAACGAAUGCUCUGGAAGAAGCUGAUUGAACGAAUGGGACGCACUGACCCCCUGUGGAAAGGACUUUCAGAAAGAAGAGGAGGGUGGGAUCAGUACCUGUUUAAAAACAGACCCACAGCUAGCCCUCCAAAUUCAUUUUAUGGGUCAUUAUACCCAAAGAUUAUCCAGGAUAUAGAGACUAUAGAAUCCACCUGGCAGUGUGGCCGACACAGCUUGCAGAGGAUUCAGUACCGCUCUGAAAAUAGUAAAGGCAUCUACGCUUUACAGUACAGUGAUGAAAAAAUUAUCAGUGGCCCACAAGAUAAUUCUAUUAAGAUUUGGGAUAAAACCAGCCUGGAAUGUUUGAAAGUGUUAACGGACACACAGGCUCUGUCCUCUGUCUGCAGUAUGAUGAGCGUGUCAUUGUAACUGGCUCUUCGGAGUUUACGGUGAGAGUGUGGGAUGUGAACAGGGGUGAAGUUCUUAACACAUUAAUCCACCACAAUGAGGCUGUACCGCACUUACGCUUCAGCAGUGGACUGAUGGUGACCUGUUCCAAGGACCACUCCAUUGCUGUGUGGGACAGGGCUUCUGCGACCGAUAUCACUUUACGCCGUGUCCUGGUUGGCCACUAAAGCUGCUGUCGAUGUAGUAGACUGACGACAAAUACAUCGUGUCCGCCUCGGGUGACAGAACCAUCAAAGUCUGAAGCACGAGCACCUGUGAAUUUGUUCGUACUGUCAGUGGGCACAAGCGAGUCUUGUUUCCAGUACAGGGAUGGGCUGGUUGUUAGUGGAUCAUCAGAUAAUACCAUUAGGCUCUCGGAUAUUGGAUGUGGCUUCUGUUUUAAGAGUCCUAGAGGGACAUGAAGAAUCGGUCGCAGAAGCCCUGUCCCACAGAAGGAUUGUCAGUGGGGCCUAUGAUGGGAAAAUUGAAGUUUAGGACUCACAAGCUGCUCUUGACCCUCGAGCCCCAGCAAGCACUUUGUGUUUGCGCACAUUGGUGGAACAUUCUGGACGUGUGUUUCAGCUACAGUUUGAUGAGUUUCAAAUCAUCAGCAGCUCCCACAAUGACACUAUCUUGAUUUGGGAUUCCUUAAAUGUGCCUCCCAGUGCCCAGAAUGAGACCCAUUCCCCCUCCAGAACAUACACUUACAUCUCUAGAUAA